AAGACCCCAUGGAGCUUUAAACCUGACAGCACCCGCUCAUUCUAUACCCCAUUAUUUGCCCGACCCCUGUCUGCUCAGUUUUAGGUUGGGGUGACCACGGAGUAUAAAAUAACCUCCAUGAAGAAGGGGAUAUUUCCCUUAUUAGAGAACCACACUUCCAAGAACUAAUAAAUUAAUUUUCAAUGACCCGAUACCUGAUAAUCGAUCAACGAACCAAGUUACCCUGGGGAUAACAGCGCAAUCCACCCUGAAAGCCCUUAUUAACAGGUGGGUUUACGACCUCGAUGUUGGAUCAGGGUAUCCCAGUGGUGCAGCAGCUACUGAGGGUUCGUUUGUUCAACGAUUAAAACCCU
rnacentral:rRNA from 1 species